rnacentral:lncRNA from 1 species
CUUGAAGUAAGUGGAAGGCAGAGGUAGCAGUCCCCAGAAUAUCCUGCACUCUGGAAAAAAAGGAAUUGUUGAGGAGCUCAGCAUUGGCCCAGGGUUUAGCUUUUACUCUUAUGGGAUCCCUUCCUCUUUCUCUCUCAGUGUGUCCCACUGGCUGGUGAGAGAUCUGUAUGUCUGAACUUCCUGUUUUAACACCUUGGAAGUUGUUAUGCACGUGCCCUAUCUAGCUCCCUAAGCCAUGAAGGAGGGGAAGAAAACAUCUCAGAGGUGGCAGUGCCAUGAUGUCCAUCCAGGAGAGAGGCUAAGGAGAAGAAACAUUGACCAGAGAGGGAGCCAGGAGGAGAUGCCUGCUCCUGAAACAGCCUCUUUACCCAGUUCUCUCCCACGCCCCCUCUCACAUGCUGACAAGGCUGUGUGCCCAAGUGUGCCAGCUCUCCUGGCUGGCGAUCCUGCUCUGCCGUGCAGGCAGCCGGCUUUCUGCUCCAGGACAGAGCACGUGCUGGGGUCUCUUGCACUCCUUUGCUCACUCAUCUCAAUGUUUUCAUGUUGCAGAUUCCUAGAGAUGAAGGAGGGAGCUCUGGCCCUGCAAGUAGGAAGACAGUGGGCUCCAGGGCCCUUUGGGUGCAUAUCUGCUUGGCUGGAGGAGGCGGGAGGAAGAAGGCUGCUGGCAGCUCAGCUGAGCUCAAGAUUCUGGUGACUCAUAGCAAUGGGGGCGGCUCAUGAAAGCAACAGAAAGGAAAGAGGUCCAGGCCUGUAAGAGCUCUCUUUUACCCCAUUUCUCCCUGACUCUCAGCUCUGUGGAUGAAGGUCUCUCAUCUAGAUUGUGGGGCAAGAAAAGACCCUAGAAAGAAGGGAAGGAAAUGGGAGAGAAGAGAACAGGAGAAGCUGAGCAUUCCCAGUGAGAGGAUUCCCAGUAAGGAAAGAAUAGGAGAGGCCAGUUAUUCUUGCCUUACUGUAUCCAUUGGCUGCACAGAGAGUUCUGGGCAUGCACAUGUGCUGGGGUGGCUCAGCACUGCUGGGCACCUUCCCAGGAGUUUUCUAGGCAGACACAGCUACUCCUCCCUGCCCUCACUACUUGUCCAGAGCUCUAGGUACCCAGCUGAUACCACGUGACUUAGGAAUUUUUUUUUCAAAAAAGCAUUGUUACAAGACAAGAACCUGAAAAGGUUACCACUUGGUAACCUCAGUACUCGCUUCCUUGGAAACAGACACCGUAGAUCUCCAAAGGUGCUAAUUUCCUCUUCCCUUACAGGUCAGGUUGGCAAUGUGCAUCUUCUCCAUCCUUUCUGAAUUAGGAGGAUGAUAGGAUACUGUGUUUGAGAUCACACCAGCAGAAAGGGACCAGAAGGUGGACCAAGAGAACCAUUCAUGCCUCCAACCACAGUCCCAGGGGCCUCGUUGUUUCAGCAAAAGGAAACAGGGAUCUUGGAUACCAAUGUAUCUGGAUACAUAAUAAUAAAUACCCUUCCUGUAACGUCAGAGAAGGAUUUACUAAGAGGAAGGGGGUUCUCUGAUAGCCUGAGUUUUCAAUUGCCUAUUUCUAUUCUUUUCAUUGCUUGUGGCUCUGCUCUCCAGCUGGUGUGAGGGUCUCUCUGCUCCUGGAGAUCCACAGACAGUUUUGGUUGGAGAAAGGGACAGACAAACUGCUCUUCAUGUAGAGAGAUGGGACCAGCUGCACUCCCCCAGCUCUCCCUUGCAGCAUUAGGAGCCCAAAGGACCUUGCUGGAACACCCGUAAUAGAGCUCAGUCCUGAACUGAACCAACACAUCACCUGGCUCUCGUAUAAAAGUGGUGCUAUGAGGGGGAGCCUGGGUGCACCAGGUGGGGUGUAGGCAGAUGUGGGGAGUUCAGCCCCAGGAGAGAGAGAAGAAUCACUCCUCAAUACCAUAUGCUCCUCCUCUUUCUCAAACCUCCUUGGCCCCUCUUUUUUUCUACCUCCCUUCAGCCAACUCCACUCCUGGGCACCUUAUCCCCUCCAAUCUGAGAAGACAUGGUAAGUAGUUGUCUGUUCCCUACACUUUUGUAUCUCUCAUUCUCCUCCUUUGCUUCCAAUUCCUAGCCAAGAGUUACCCCAUUUGAACUCUCCACCAGUGAUGCCAUCAGGAUCUGAACCUAGAAUCCCCAGCCUCUCCCAACCCUCUGACUCUGAGAAUGCCACUCUGACUCAUCAGUCCUCCUCCUCCCCACAAGUACCGCCAGGCCAAGACUAGUAUGUCCACCAGCACCAAGGACCCUGACCUGAAGCAGAGGGCAGCCCUAGGGGGUGCAUUGGGGCCCAGCCCUAAAUGCGUGUAUGCCUGUGCAUUGGGCACACUGGUUUAUUAGUGUUAUUUCAGCAUUGUGAUGCAGAGAGAGUAAGUGUAACAGCUGCUCCUUGCUUGCAGUGUUUAUUGUUACCUAGAGACAACCUCCUGGCUUUUUCCCAGCUCCCCCUCCCCCCAGCCCAACCCCCUCCCUGCCAACAGGCCUACUCUCCCCACACUGAUGGGAAAUUUAUAGCUUGCCCAUACCAUGCCUUUAACCCUCUCCUGUCCAUAGGAUAGGUGGGGUGAGGGAAGCCAAAGUAAGCAGUGGUAGCCCCAGCAGGGUAGAAUAGUGUGGAGCAGGGAGGGAAGGAGGGAGAAGACAUCUCCCCUCCCCAAUCUGUGUGUCCAGACUCAGGUCCCAGUUGCCCUCCUGGGUCUCCUGUUGAGAGAAAAGAACUUUGGACCUAGCCUUGGGAUCCCAGCAUCCUCCUCACAACAUAAUUCUCUUCCCUGGGCACCUCUGAGUCCCCUAUUUGGGCUGCUUGGUCCUGGGCAAGUACAUCAAGGUAGUAUUGAAACAAGAGGAGUAAAUACAGAGGGGCAGAACCCCCAGCCCCCUCCUUUCUAUAGAGAUGUCAUAUUGAGACAAACAAGAGGCUGUGGCAUGAGGGAUGCUGGCCAGAUCUCCAUAGCUAGAUCUCCACAGGUAGAUGUCAAACAUGAACCUGGCUGCUGAGCCUAGUGGGAAAAACUCAAAUUCACCCUGAUCCCAAAACAGGUCCUGAGAGACACUCAGGCCAUCCUUUAAGCUGGUCUUCUUGGUCUGGUUAGGCUACUCCUUUCUGCUUUUCUUCUGGUCCAUUUUCUCCUGCUCAUCUUUUGGUUUGAUACCUUAGGGCAGAUCCAAGAGACCAAGGGGACUGAGGCAUCCUAGUCAGUGUCUCAACAGAACUGGGGAAGCUCCUCUCUCCCCUCCUGACGUAGGACUUUUCAUGGAGAGGAACCAUAUCAUAUAUUCACCAUCCCCACUGGAAACAAGAGGAAAAGGGAUCAGAUUUUACCAGAAAGGAUAGAGCUUAGACAUAUGGAAAAACUUACUCAUGGGCUGUAAGACUUCAGAAUGGGCCUACUUCUCAUCAGAGAUUUUUCUUCUGCCUGGGAUGUGUUUAAGUCUACCUAAGGGGCACUGGAAAAACAGGGUUACUUUUCUGGGGCUCCUCCAGAUGUAGGUCCCUGUGCAGUUUCCACACAGUGCACCCCUCCUCAGCCCUUCUAAAUGUAUGUGUGGUGGUUAGAUCGCAAGUUUUGGAAGCAGACAGCCUUGGGUUCUAGUCCCAGCACUGCCAUUUAUCAGCUGUGCUACCUUGGUAAGUCACUUAACCUUUUUGAGCCCUAAUUUCCUUGUCUGUGAAAUGCAGAUAAACAAUCUCUUAAGGUUGUAGAGAGAAUUUAGUGAAAUAAUGUGCAUAGAGCACCUAGGACAGUGCCUCAUACUCAGUGGGUGCUUAGUCAACCAUUGAUGCAAUAGUCUAUUACUUUUAUGCAGUCAGCAGGGCUGAAAUUGCUUCAAAGACUCCAUGAGUCCCCUGAAAUUGUAGGCCAAAUGUGUUUAUGUGCAUAUACUGGGGAGAAUGUCCAUACUUUUCUUCAUGAUGUGGGGGGGGGGGGGGGGUGCCAGUCUCCUGGAAAGGAAGUAGCCCCAAUCUCUUGACUCAGACUCCCCAAGAAGUCAGUUCCGUCAUUCCCAUGCCUCUCAAGCCAGGAGCACCUUAGGCAGUGUUCUUCUACCUGGAAGUACAGCUUCAUCUAAGAUGGAGCUGGGGAGAGACAGCCAUUAGGAUAGCAACACCUUGCAUUUGCCAGGCACUUUACAGUUUGUCAAGUACAUUUACCUACAUUUGCUCUUUUGAUACCCAGAACAUGACAGUAAAGUGAAGCGAACUAUCAUUUAUUGAGUGUCUAAUAUGUGCCAGGCAUUGUGCUAGGUGUAUUUUUUUUAAGUAUGUUUAAAGUCUGUAAAGUGUUUCGUCACCUAGAUAUGCUGUGAUUUAUAACGCUCAUCUCCUAUUUUUAAUCAUUUAGAUAUUUUUACUGAAAUAAUAUCACAAUGAACAUCUUAAGAUAUAAAACUUCAUGCAUUUUUUAUAGUAAAUUCUAAGAAGUGGAAUUAUUGGGUCAACAGAUACAGAUAUCCUCCCCUCUCUAUAGUUAUGAUCAUUUUAUUGAUGAACCCUAAUGAGAAUAAUAUUUUUUAAUCUUCCUCUUUGGAAUUCUGCAAUGGAAACACAAGGGCAGCCCCUUCUCUCUCCUAUACCCAACAGAGACAUUAAUAAUCUAUCAUAGCUUUUUUUUAAUUGAAGUAAUUGUAGAUUCACAUGCAGUUGUAAGAAAUAAUACAGAGAGAUUCCAUGUACAUUUUAUCUACUUUCACCCAAUGGUAACAUUUUACAAAACUAUAGUAUAAUAUCACAACCAAAACAUUGACGUUGAUACAAUCCACCAGUCUUAUUCAGAUUUCCAGUUUUACUUGUUCUUGUGUGUGUAUUAAGUUCUAUGCAGUUUUAUUAUCUGUGUAAAUUCGUAUAUCUACCACUACAGUCAAGAUAAUUGAACAGGGGCUGGCCCCGUGGCCGAGUGGUUAAGUUCACAUGCUCCACUUUGGCGGCCCCGGGUUUCACCAGUUUGGAUCCUGGCCAUGGACGUGGCACGUCUCAUUAGGCCACACUGAGGUGGUGCCCCACAUGCCACAAGUAGAAGGACCCACAACUAAAAUAUACCACUAUGUACUGGGGGGAUUUGAGGAGAAAAAGCAGGAAAAAAAACCUGAACAGUUUUAACACCACAAAGAUUCCUCAUGUUGCCCUUUUAUAAUCAUGCCCAUCUCACCCCUCCUUAACCCUUGAGAACCACUAAUCUAUCCUCCACUUCUAAAAUUCUGUUGUUUCAAAAAUGAAGUCAUAUACUAUGUAACUUUUUAGGCUUGGCUUCUUUUCAGCAUAAUUCCCUGAAGAUUCAUCCAAGUUUUUGUAUGUAUCAAUGGUUCAGUCUUUUUAUUUAUGCCAUGGUAUGAAUGUACCACAGUUUGUUUAACCAUUCACCUGUUAAAGGACACUGUACUCUCCCUUUGUAUUCACUAGAAAUUAAUGAAGUAGCUCAUUUUAUGUGGUGUGUUGUGUGUUUCAUAUUCACAAUUAUUAAGCUUAUUAACUCUUCAAGCAUGGCACUAUGAUUAUAUCCACUUUAUAGAUGAGGAAAAUUGAGGCUCACAGUAAAUGAUUUUCUCGCAAUUACAUGCUGUUAAAUGGCAAAGAGCCUGGAACCCAGGAUAAUAGGGCUCUUCCACUAAACCAGGCCUUCUCAGACCUUGCUUAAGGUUGCUGGGAAGAGGGUGUGGGUGGAACCAGAAGAGAGAUGUUGGGGCAGGAAGAAUACUGGAGCAGCCUGGGUCAAUUGAGGUCCUCACAGCUAACUUUGGUUCAUAGGUUAGAAGAUAAACAGUGUCAUGGAACAGGGGGCAACAUGGUAUGAGCCUUUGAAAUUGUUUCCCCCUUGCCAGGGAAGAACAAGGCUAAAGUGGAUGGAGCCCAUGAGCAAUCUGCCCACAGACCUGGGACCUGGAAUGAGAAAGGGAGGAGCUAGCCUUUAGGUGUCUAUCAGAGAAUGAGUAGUCAAGGCUGUCCUUGAAAAUGUGAAGUUGAAUGUGUCUCUAAUGAGGUCUGAAGAAAUUGAGGCCCAUAACAACAAGUGAGCUCUCUAUUCUGGAUGGAAAAGGGAGAUAGUAGCACUUUUUUGGGGAGGCAAGGGGGACUACAGGUCAUUAACACACACACAUAAACCUUGGGCAGGCUCAGUGUCAGGAACAUGGUACAAGGGGCAAGCAGAGUAGAAGCAAAAAUGCUAGACCAACACUUACUGCUGACUACCACUGCACUUUCCCUCCAACUGAAGUCAUGGACAGCUAAGUCAGAAGGAGCUGGAGAAAUUGUUUGGUCUGUCCCUCAGCCUCUGGGCACUGGUUGAAGCUGACAGGUGGAAACCUAGAGUUGGCUCAGACAUGAUGGAUGGUAGAGAUGCCAACUUGCAAGAGAGAAGGUUUGGCUCCUCUCCUGGGAGCUGUGUCUGGUCAAAGGCUGCCUCCUCCCACCUCCUGCUGGAACCAGCUCCUUUAUAGUUGAUGUUACCAUUGCUCCCUUGGCCUAUUCCAGUGGCUGUGGACUCAUAACAAUUUUCCCCAUCUACUUACAGCUUUAGAACCAGGCCAAGAGCAUGUAUCACUCUUCUCCAUCUCUUUUGGCUCAUCAGAAAUGGCAUAUCUUCUCCCAGUGGGACGCACCAUGCUUACCCAGUAAUUCCAGUCAUGGAGAAUAAAUACCGAGGCCUUCACAAUUUAUAGGGACUACAUUGCAUUGUUGAAACAACCAGAGAUAUCCAUUCUGAAUGUCUUUUUGUUGGAAAUUCUUAGACAAAGAGAAACCACUCUUUACCAGCUCUUAUGCCUACUGAGAUUUCCUGACUGCCAGAGGUCCUAAGUGUGGCUAGAAGAAAGCUACCUUCCCUUGGAGCCAAGAUGGUUCCUAACCAGGAAAUCUCAGGACCCCCCACUUACUCCCUUUCCUUGACUGCCCCUCUAGUCUAGGUCCCCUCCUCUUCUGCCACCACUCCCUUCCCAUUCCUCCUUUCUCUUCUACUCUCUCUCUCAGCAAGUUUUUUAUGUGAUUACAGGCACUGCAUGGUAAUUAGUGCUAAACUCAUUUGCACAACUACAGUUAAUUGGCUACAACAAUUAAUUAAUGUGUUGGAAAUUUGGCACUGGAAAAAAAAAGUUUGUCAUCAAAAAAAGGGCAAAAAAUUGUAGAGUGAAAUACCCAUAAAAAUCGAGGGCAGGCUUCAAAAGCCCAGCUGGGCCUCAAACUUCAGGCCGGCCUCAGAUGCCUUCCCAUUCUCAACUUCAAUAUGUUUUCUUCUUUCCUCUGUUUUUUUUUUUCCUCUUUCUUUCUCUAUUUCUCUUCUCUCUCUCUUUUUUUUUUUUUUUUUUUACAACUUAAGCAAACUCAUUUCCCUGAUAAAAUAUAGCAUGACUAAUGGCUAGAGCAUGUAAAAAUCAUUGGGAAAAUGUCCUUGGAAGACGAAUGCAUUUUCAGCAGAAUAAUUAACUUAAUUAACAAAUUCACAUGCAUAUUCAUCAGGCUAUUAAUGUCUUCUCGGCUCAGCUUGAUGAACAUUGCGGUAAUAACCAUCUCAUUUACAUACUGCAUUCUACUGCGAUCCAAAACAGAGACAACAUACAGGCAUACACACACACACACACACACACACUUGCUUGAAUACACACAACAUGCCUGGGCCGCUUUGACUUCCAGGUUGGCUGGGAGUGUGUGUGUGUGUGUGUGUGUGAGUGUGUGAGUGAGGCAGAGGGGUGGAUGGGAACCUAACUAGAUGGUGUGAUCUUGAGAGGGUCAUGAGUGCGGUGGGCUAGGGAUGCCAACGUGUGGAUGUGGAUAUCUGAGAGAACUUUAAUUCUCUCUCUCUCUGUCUCUCUCUGUCUCACUCUGCCUCUUAUUCCUUGUUUCUUUUUCUCUGUGUCAUUUUCUUUCUUCUUCUCGCGCACCCUCCCCCCCAUGUCUCUCUAGGGAAAAACUUGGUAUCGGUGCCAACUUUUUACCCCUUCCCCUCCUCCCUCACUCUCCUCCUUCCCCUCUCCCAACUGCUGCCAGCCGGCAUCAGCGCCGAAUUGCCAUCUCCUUGAGCUCUCUGUGGAGCAAUCUCAGAGAGCAGUAAGGUGUGACGCGAGGCUCUGCCGGCUUCGCAGCAACCGCCUGCGGAAAGAACGCAGGAUGGCGGAGGAAGAUUAAGAGAAAUCGCGAGCAGGGCUCGGCUGCAAUUGGUGUGUGCAAACGCCGAAGAGGAAGGGAGAGGGAGAGCGAGGAGGGAGGGUAGAAGUGGGGGAGGAACCAGCAGCUGUCGGCCUAAUUCUUCUAACACUCUGCUUGUGGUCAUAUUAGAAAAACAGAUUAUGCCCCUCGGUGCCACUCACUUAUACUUGACAUACGUUAAUGUUCUAUAUCUCCAUUCUCGGGUCUUGACGUCGGUGGACUUAGGGUCAAGGAGGAUGGUGUUCUGGGUGGCCAAGGGGCACAAAAGAUCCUGCCUCUACGUUUUUCCUGACCUCCAACCCUAGUCUGUAGUAGCCCUUUAGAAAGCAAGCCUGGGCCCAGAAUUUGCAUCUGAUGCCACCCUUUGGCCCAGCUUUUUGCAGCCCCAUAAGAGGUGCAGAGGUCAGAGGACACCUGGAAGCCCUUUCCCCUAAAAGUAACUCCCCAUUUAGAGUCUUAAUAGGUCACUUUAGGGCCAAAUGAGACUAGCUUUGUAGCACUCCUACCCCUAACAUUUCUAGGGCCCUCCCCCUUAAAUCAGAAGUUGGGGGUCAGAGAAAGCUAUCUGUGGCAAUCAGUGCUCCCUGAGGGGGUUACAGAGAAGCCAGAAGCAAACAAGGCCAGGAUUGUUUCUGGGUUGCUAUGGAAACCAGGUUCCCGCCUCCUGGCAGGAUGGGAGGCGUGCCUGAGGCCUUCCUCUUUCUACCAAUCCUGAAGGCUAUAAAGGUGGAGUUUACCAAGGCCUGGGGCAUAGGGAUGGUCUUGGAGGACAAACCAACCAUUCCCAGCAGCCCUGCUUGUCAGUCCAUAGCCCUUUGACCCCCACCUUCCCUACCCUCUCACCCCAAUAUUCAGUCAGAGGAGACUUUUUCCACACAGUAUCUGUCCUCUAUGGAGACCUGUUGCUUAGCAACCACUAGUGCCUUCUUCCUAAUAACUUGCAGGGACUGAGAUAUAAUAUCUGUCUCUCCAUAUUCAGUUUCCCUCCUCUGUCUAUUUAUAUUUAAUAACUGAAGGCCUGUCUUGGGUUCCUUUGGCACAUGUUUUAGAGGACUUUUAGAGGAUUAAGCUGUAGCCUGAAGAAAUAAAGUUACACCUGAGGAAGAACUUCCAAACAGGGAAGAGUGGGAGAAAAGACCGGAGUAGGUAGGGAAGCUGUGGAAUCAUACUCUCUUAAGUAUAGGUAGAGAGAAAAAAUUUAGAACUUGGAAUGUGGGGAGGGAAUGUCUACAGGGAUUCCCAAGGGUGCUCUCCUGGACCUGGAGUAGACCUAACAGAGCUGCUUCCUGGGCUAGCAUUUUCCAUUCCCCAUACUCUGCCCUGCCCCUCCUUGCUGACCACUUCAAGUCUAGAGCCCUCUCAUAUUUCUAUAUGUGGGAGGCCCAUCCCUCUGAGGAUGCCCAGUUUCCUAGUAUCUAGAUGUUGGUAUCCAGGAAGAGGGGCUGUGUCAGUGUGUGUCCAGCAAGGUGUGGGUGUCUUCCAAAGUUUUUCAGUCACAGGGAGGGAGUUCUUCUGAGCUCUCUACUAGAAAACUCCAGACCUGAUCAAGCACAAAGCUGUCUAGGGAGAGUAGCAAUGUCCCUAUAAUCUUCCCCACCUCCAGUCCCAACCUCUGACCUCUAGUUCUCCCUGCUGACACCCCACCCUGACCUGCUACCCUUCUCCCCAGUCAGCACCUUCACUGCCAUCGUGCUAGCUCACAGACUGUACGAUUUCACCCUCCAUACCCUGCUUCUCGGCACCUCCUCCAACCCGAGCCUUCUGUAGGAGACAGAUGGGAUGUCUGUGAUGGAAAAGGCUCUGGGCUCUACGCCGCCUUGGGUGGGCAGCCCCCUCCCUAUCUCCCCACUACUCCCUCUCCCUACCUAAGACACUUAGAUUCACCCCAGGCAGCUUUGGGAACUGCUGAGGAUUCCAACUCUCUUCCCUUCUCAGACUUGGCCCCAGAAGCAGAGCCAGAAUUGCAUCCUUCUCCAAGUCUAGACUUCAACCCCUCUUCAUGGAAGACCAAUGCAAAGGAGGAAGUAGGUUAGGGAAUGGUAGGGCUCCAUGUGAAGGGACUAAUGUGGAGAGGCAGGAGAGGCCCAGAGUCCCUGAAUGAGGACUGGAUGGCUAAGGUUUGGGGCCUAAGUUGACAGAGGAGGCUGAGCCUAGGCAGUUCCUUUGCUCCAGAAAUCUGGGGUCCCUGGAGGGAGGCUCAGCCUGGGGAGGGGGGAAAGGGAGCUAACCUUACAGAGCACCAACUGUGAGCCAGGCAUGAUGCCAGAGCCUUUUCAUACCUGUACUCAACUAGCAGGUGAGAAGUCAGGGUGAAUAGGUGUCUCAUGAGUCUUAGCAUCUCUCAGCACAGCUGACCACCUCCUCCUUUGAUUCUAUGAUAUCAUUGCCAAUUCUUCCACCGCUCUAGCUGCUCUUUCUUUGUCUCCUUUGCAAGCUCAUCCUCAACUUCUUAGACUUAGCCAAGUCCCCUAAUUAUACACUUUUAUGGUACUAUAUAUCCUUAUUUCAGAGCACUUAGCACAGUUAUUUCACACUUAUAUGUGCAGUCAUUUGAAUAAUGAUUCUAUUUCUCCCACCAGAUGGAAAGUUGCACAAGGACAGUGACCACAUCUGACCGUGUUCAUCAGUGUGCUCCCAGUGCCCAGCACAGUGCCUCGCAUAAAGCGGCUGUUUGGAAACAAGAAGAGAAGGCCCAGAGAAGAGAAGAGGGAAGAUGGAACUCCAUGAAGACACUCAUGUGCAACAUACACUAGUGCACAAUGGGAUAUGUGCACACAGCUGUGUGUGCAGGUCAGGAUGCUUGCUGAGGCCCCCUGUAGCACGUAUACACACAGCUCGCACAUCACCCAGGCAUGGAGAGGAAUUAUUCACAUAUGCAGGCCAGUCUUUCCUCCUAUAUUCAGGCCACUGUCCUAACCAGAACAAGCUGGUUUCUGCAAGUUGCUAGCCUGAGCUGUGCCCCAGGUUUUUCCCAUAAAUCCUAAUGCACCAGCAUUCCCCAGCUCCUGGCAGCUACCUGGAGUCAACCGUAGCAGUGACAGAGCCAGACAGCAACUCUGCCAGGAUAGGGGUGGAGGGCACCUGCGCUCAUCCUGUGCACCUGUCUUGGCUACAGUGUGGUGCCUUCUCUGGUGAUUAUCAGAUGACAGGUUCAGACAUCUCACCUGGGAGAGAGAUGAGACAUCUCACCUCAUCUCACCUCUCACCUGGCAUAGCCUUGGUUCAGAGGAAAGAGGGGGCUAAUAGGAGGUGAGAGAGGCAGAAUAUGUGCUUCUCUGUGACCCCCUUUCAUCUUUACCUGUCUCCAGGAGAUAGGUGACCCCCCAUUAUCAGGAAACACUUCUCAAGUGCCUACCCUCUAGGAAACACUAUGCUUAGUUUAGCACAGUGCCUCACAAUUUUCUGGGCUGGGUUGAUAACAGCCCCAAGAAUCUGGAUGUGCUGUCCCCAUUGGAGGAUCCACAGUAACUUGCAUGGUAACCUCAACCUUACCCAUGUUAGGCUGCCAGGCCAAGGGAUGCUCCCUGACCUUCUCCAGGAUUCCCCCUCCCUCAAGGAAGGAGCCAGCUUCUCCACAGACUGGUGUGGCUGCCAGCCAAGAGGCUUGGGGCAGGCCUGGGGCAUGCAGCUGGCACCUGCCCACCAGAUCCCUAAGGAGCACCCUCCUCCUCCACUCCAUAGCACCAUUCAGAUGGCUCCUGGGCUACAGGGAGGCAGAGCUCACCACUCCCCAUUCUCAGAGAAAACCUCAAGCUGGAAAGCCCAUCACCACCCUUUCCACUGUAAUCUGCUCUAAGAUCCUCCACCAGACUAGAUAUACUAAAGACCCACUAGGUACUUUUUCCAAGCAGGACCAAACACUUAACACAGUAGGGGUUGGUCUGGGGCUAGGUAAGGGGCCUUGAGGUGUGGGACCUGGGCUGGAAUUAUGGGAGGAGUUGCUGAGGUCAAGAGAUGGAUGAGGAAGAACUUGAUGGGAGUGAGAUACGAUGGGGGACAUGAAGAGAAGGGGCUGAGUGAAUUUGCCUCUCUCAUCUAAUUAGUGGUAUGCAAAUGAUAUGCAAAUGACCCCCUCUUUGUUUUGAGACCACAGGGCCUAUGCUUUUUGGAAGUGGGCUACAGAGGGACUACCAGGCAGCGUCUCUGAGGCCUUCAGAUAUGGGACACCCAGGCUCAAGAGGGAGGCCAGAGUGCAGCCAUCUGGUUCUAGCUUAUUUCCUGGAC